rnacentral:rRNA from 1 species
UUGACCUCAAAUCAGGAAGGAUUACCCGCUGUACUUAAGCAUAUCAA